GUGUUUGUUUGUUUGUUUGUUUGUUUGUUUGUUUGUUAGGGGUCUAUAGUAUUGUGUUACCGGAGAAGUUUCAUGUUUAGUUUGGAAAGUGUUUAUUUUAUUUUAGGUACAGCGCGCGCGCCAGAUUGACGAGACAUCACGUGACACGGGUUUAUAAUAACGAAAACUUAGUCUUUUUAUUUCUUUUUAGGUCGGGACGUUAAACAGACAACAUGUAUAGAGAUGGAAUGUACACAAUGUAAUUUCUUUUGUCAUUGUAGGAAAUUGACAUUUUGAUCACAGGUCACGGGCAGUGCAUGUUUUGGAUUUAAUCGAUCCGGUGUAACUUUAAAACACAUUUAAUGAUUAUUUUCUGAUAAUGUACAUUUUUCAGCACCUGUUUGUAACACAGAUUAGUAUUUCAAUCUCGGAGCGGACAUUUUAUUGUAGGUUUUUACUGAGAUUUACGGACCUAGCAAGCGAUUUUUACGGCAUUGCCAUUUCUGUUCUCUAGGAAAAGCUUUGAGAGAUAUCUGCAACAAGUUUUUUUAUAAACCUUUAGUACAUGUAUGCCCUGCUGACUGCAAAUUUUGAGGUCGAUUGUACUUGUAGUUUCAGAGUACAUGUGGAUUUUUUUUUUUCAGAAGUGACGCAAGAACAAUAUUGAAUUUCGAUUUUUCAUGAAACAUGAUUGAUUGAUCAUGAUCAUGAUUGAUUGAUUGAUUGAUUGAUUGAUUGGUUGGUUGAUUGAUUGAUUGAUUGAUUGAUUGAUUGAUUGAUUGGUUGAUUGGUUGGUUGGUUGGUUGGUUGGUUGGUUGGUUGGUUAAACACGUUGGAUAGGGUCAAUUGAAACAGCGAAAAAGAAACAAAGAUCUUGGACCCUAUAUUAAACACAUGAGACGGACACAUGAUUGAUUGAUCAUGAUUGAUUGAUUGAUUGAUUGAUUGAUUGAUUGAUUGAUUGAUUGAUUGAUUGAUUGAUUGAUUGAUUGAUUGAUUGGUUGGUUGGUUGGUUGGUUGGUUGGUUGGUUGGUUCGUUAAACACGUUGGAUAGGGUCAGUUGAAACAGCGAAAAAGAAACAAAGAAGAUCUUGGAUCGUAUAAUAAACACAUGAGACGGAUACAUGAUUGAUUGAUUGAUUGAUUGAUCAUGAUCAUGAUCAUGAUUUAUUGAUUGAUUGAUUGAUUGAUUGAUUAGUUGGUUGGUUGUUUGGUCAAACACGUUGGAUAGGGUCAGUUGAAACAGCGAAAAAGAAACAAAGAAGAUCUUGAACCCUAUGAUAAACACACGAGACGGAAACGUGAUUGAUUGAUUGAUCAUGAUAAUUAUUGGUUGAUUGAUCAUGAUCAUGAUUGAUUGAUUGAUUGAUUGAUUGGUUGGUUGGUUGGUUGGUUGGUUGGUUGGUUGGUUGGUUGGCAGGCAAACACACAUAAAACUCUUCAAGUAGUGCCCAAAAUCACACAUGUACAUGACCUUGACCUUUGACCUUGACCUAAUUUUCGUUUUUUUGGACCAAGGAUCUCAAAUCAAAAGACCCGAGGUCUCUAUCACUUAUGGUUUUCCAGUUUAAAAUACAUUUCAAAAUUUCAAAAACAAAAGGGGAAUUAACUCUCAUAUGGAAUCUCUAUAAGGCUUCGGUCAACAAAAAAACAGAACGUCCUGAGGAUGUAACGCGCCAUUUGGAAAAAUAAAUUUGUCGGUUUCUUANGCAAUCAUUGGUAACAUGUGACUUUUUGACUGUGCCAUAAUCGCAAUAAACUUUUCUGCGUGUACGUGUAAAUAUGUUUGGUUACUUAAGGACAUCAAAAGUAAAAGUAGUUUUAGCAUUGUUGUUUACCAACUAAAGACAGUUGUAGAAUACGUAAUGAAAAUAUUUGUCUUAUUCUUCAUGAAUCAACAUAUUAUUUUCCUUCGGUUAACUUUCAUCCAUUUCUGACACUUUUUGUAAUGUAUUACUUGCGUUCUGUAGAUCUAUUUCCAACCACUUAGUGCAUGCCCUCUUUGUUGCAAAAGAAAUACCCUGAAAAGAAACAAAUAGAAUUAAAAACCAAUUGUUCAAAGAACAAUUGAAGGUCUUUCAACCAAUAAGGAUCUAUUUAGAUAUGAAAAUAUUAAGAUUCAGUUGAAAAUGUCAGUUCCUAUAGCUUUAUGAUGUAUAAAUAUGAAUUUCUAGAAGCAAAGGUCAAAAAUCAAAAUCUAGAACGUCCAAAUAACCUAUGACCUUGACCUCAAUUUCAAGGUCAUAAACAUAGAAUCCCAAAUCAAAAGACCCCAGAUCUGUAUUAUGUAUGGUUCAUGAGUAAUAUCACUUUACGCAUAAUUCUAAAUAUAAGAGGGGCAAAAACUCCCAUUUAUUGUCUACGCACCCUUCCAAUCAAAAUUUAUAAGUUACGACAUGUCGCAACUAACAAUUUAGUAAAAAUAUUUGUCGAAAUCUUAUAAAGUAAUGAAAAUAAGUGAAAAUAAGCCAAAAUCAAAAUUAGAAUUUGACCUUGACCUUUGACCUUGACCUAAUUUUCAUUUUUUUGGACCAAGGAUCUUAAAUCUAAAGACCCUAGGUCUCUAUCACUUAUGGUUUACCAGUUAGAAAUGCAUAUCACUUAUAUCAUAUAUAAAAGGGGGAUAACUCUCAUAUGGAGUCUCCAGAUAGCUUCGGUCAAAAUAAAACAGAUCAUCCUGAGGAUAUAACGAGCAAUUUGGAAAAAUAAAUUUGUCGCUUUCUUUUACGGUUGCGAAGCCUUAGUGGCCACAAGAAAAACAGUGUUCGGGGAGAUAACUCUUACAAGGUAAAGGUUUUUGUUACGCGGUGUCAGUUUCAGAAGCGCAUUAACUGUUCGAUAUCAUAUACCAUAUAUCUAAGCGACAUCUUGUGAAACAAAAAAACAGCGAAGGAAAAAAAAAGUUGGCGAAGAAAAAAAAAAAAAAUAAUAAAUAAUAAUAAUUAAAAACCAAUUGUUCAAAGAACAAUUGAAGGUCUUUCAACCAAUAAGGAUCUAUUUUAGAUAUGAAAAUAUUUAAAAAUUCAGUUGAAAAUGUCAGUUCCUAUGGCUUAAUGAUGUAUAAAUAUGAAUUUUAAGCAAAGGUCAAAAUCUAGAACGUCCAAUUAACCUAUGACCUUGACCUCAAUUUCAAGGUCAUAGACUAAACAUCUCAAAUAAAAAGACACUAGUUCCUUAAUAUGUAUGGUUCAUGAGUAAAAUCACUUUACGCAUAAUUCUUAAUAUAAGAGGGGCGAAAAACUCCCUUUUAUGGUUUACGCACCCUUGCAACCAAAAAUUUAUAAGUUACGACAUGUCGCAACUAACAAUUUAGUAAAAAAAAAAAUGUCGAUAUCUUAUAAGGUUAAUGAAAAAAGGUGAAAAAGCAGCCAAAUCAAAAUUUAGAAUUUGACCUUGACCUUUGACCUUGACCUAAUUUUCAUUUUUUUGGACCAAGGAUCUUAAAUCAAAAGACCCUAGGUCUCUAUCACUUAUAGUUUACCAGUUAGAAAUGCAUAUCACUGAUAUUCAUAUAAAAGGGGGGAUAACUCUCAUAUGGAGUCUCCGGAUAGCUUCGGUUGAAAUGAAACAGAAACAUCCUAAGGAUAUAACGAGCAAUUUGGAAAAAUAAAUUUGUCGGUUUCUUAUACGGUUGCGAAGAGUAGUGGCCACAAGAAAAACAGUGUUUCGGGGAGAUAACUCUUACAAGGUAAAGUUUUUUGUUACGCGGUGUCAGUUUCAGAAGCGUAUUAACUGGUCGAUAUCAUUUACCUUAUAUCUAAGCGAUAUCUUGUGAAACAAAAAAAACAGCGAAGGAAAAAAAGUUGGCGGAAGAAAAAAAAAAAAAAAAAAAUAAUAAUAAAAAAAAAUAAUUCAAUGAAAGGUUGAAAACCUAAUUAAAACAAUUGUUCAAAGAACAAUUGAAGGUCUUUCAACCAAUAAGGAUCUAUUUUGAUAUGAAAAUAUUAAAAUUCAGUUGAAAAUGUCAGUUCCUAUGGCUUUAUGAUAUAGAAAUAUGAAUGAAUUUAAAGCAAAGGUCAAAAUCUAGAACGUCCAAUUAACCUAUGACCUUGACCUCAAUUUCAAGGUCAUAAACUAAGGCACCAAAUCGAAUCAAAAGACCACUAGUCUUAAUAUGUAUGGUUCAUGAGUAAGUAAUAUCACUUUACGCAUAAUUCUAAAUAUAAGAGGGGCAAAAAACUCCCGUUUAUUGUCUACGCACCCUUCCAACCAAAAUUUUAAGUUACGACAUGUCGCAACUAACAAUUUAGUAAAAAAUAAUUUGUCGAAUAUCUUAUAAAGUUAAUGAAAUAAGUGAAAAUAAGCCAAAAUCAAAAUUAGAAUUUGACCUUGACCUUUGACCUUGACCUAAUUUUCAUUUUUUUUGGACCAAGGAUUCAAAUCAAAAGACCCUAGGUCUCUAUCACUUAUAGUUUACCAGUUAGAAAUGCAUAUCACUGAUAUCAUAUAUAAAAGGGAGGGAUACUCUCAUAUGGAGUCUCCGGAUAGCUUCGGUUGAAAUGAAACAGAACAUCCUAAGGAUAUAACGAGCAAUUUGGAAAAAUAAAUUUGUCGGUUUCUUAUACGGUUGCGAAGGAGUAGUGGCCACAAGAAAAACAGUGUUCGGGGAGAUAACUCUUACAAGGUAAAGUUUUUUGUUACGCGGUGUCAGUUUCAGAAGCGUAUUAACUGUUCGAUAUCAUUUACCUUAUAUCUAAGCGAUAUCUUGCGAAACAAAAAAACAGCGAAGGAAAAAAAAGAGUGGCGAAGAAAAAAAAAAAUAAUAAUAAUAAAUAUAAAUCAAUUGCUUUAAAAAAGCAAUUGUAUAAAGGUCUUUCCCCCUUUGAAAUUGAUUAUAUAUGGGGGGGGGGAGGGGUCUGUUUAUUUGUUUGUUCGUUUGUUUGUUUCGGUAUGGGGUCUAUAGUAUUGUGUUACCGGAGAAGUUUCAUGCUUAGUUUGGAAAGUUUUUAUUUUAUAUUUAGGUACAGCGCGCGCGCCAGAUUGAGGAGACAUCACGUGACGCGGGUUUAUAAUAACGAAAACUUAGUCUUUUAAUUUCUUUUUAGGUCGGGACGUUAAACAGACAACAUGUGUAGAGAUGGAAUGUACACAAUGUAAUUUCUUUUGUCAUUGUAGGAAAUUGACAUUUUGAUCACAGGUCACGGGCAGUGCAUGUUUUGGAUUUAAUCGAUCCGGUGUAACUUUAAAACACAUUUAAUGAUUAUUUUCUGAUAAUGUACAUUUUUCAGCACCUGUUUGUAACACAGAUUAGUAUUUCAAUCUCGGAGCGGACAUUUUAUUGUAGGUUUUUACUGAGAUUUACGGACCUAGCAAGCGAUUUUUACGGCAUUGCCAUUUCUGUUCUCUAGGAAAAGCUUUGAGAGAUAUCUGCAACAAGUUUUUUUAUAAACCUUUAGUACAUGUUAUGCCCUGCUGACUGCAAAUUUGAGGUCGAUUGUACUUGUAGUUUCAGAGUACAUGUGGAUUUUUUUUUCAGAAGUGACGCAAGAACAAUAUUGAAUUUCGAUUUUUCAUGAAACAUGAUUGAUUGAUCAUGAUCAUGAUUGAUUGAUUGAUUGAUUGAUUGAUUGGUUGGUUGGUUGGUUGGUUGAUUGAUUGAUUGAUUGGUUGAUUAGUUGGUUGGUCGGUCGGUCGGUCGGUUGGUUGGUUGGUUAAACACGUUGGAUAGGGUCAAUUGAAACAGCGAAAAAGAAACACAGAUCUUGGACCCUAUAUUAAACACAUGAGACGGACACAUGAUUGAUUGAUUGAUUGAUUGAUUAGUUGGUUGGUUGGUUGGUUGGUUGGUUGGAUAGGGUCAAUUGAAACAGCGAAAAAGAAACCAAGAUCUUGGACCCUAUAUUAAACACAUGAGACGGACACAUGAUUGAUUGAUUGAUUGAUUGAUUGAUUGAUUGAUUGAUUGAUUGAUUGGUUGGUUGGUUGGUUGGUUGGUUGGUUGGUUGGUUGGUUGGUUGGUUGUUAAAC
rnacentral:lncRNA from 1 species